UGUGUACAUCAGUCGACACUGCAGGAACGGGCGUCACAUUCACUGCUACUCUUCGAAGGUCACUCACUAAUGUUUUCCUUGGAGUCCAAACCGAACUGGUUGUGGAUGUCACGACUGGCGCUGGUGCUUCUGGAACGGCCAACAUCGUUCUGACAGCACUCGGGGGAGGAUCUAACACGGGUGGAUGCACUGCUGCUAAUCUUGGGGAUAUUCUCAUAAGUAGGAACCCGUUCAGCGUUGGAAACAACAAUGGUGUUUUGGAAACAUUCACCAUUCAACCCAGCCAAACUGUGCCGACGAAAACAUUCCGAAAUCUCCCCAU